rnacentral:rRNA from 1 species
AGAGUUUGAUCCUGGCUCAGGAUGAACGCUGGCGGCGUGCCUAAUACAUGCAAGUCGAACGAAACUUCUUUAUCACCGAGUGCUUGCACUCACCGAUAAAGAGUUGAGUGGCGAACGGGUGAGUAACACGUGGGCAACCUGCCCAAAAGAGGGGGAUAACACUUGGAAACAGGUGCUAAUACCGCAUAACCAUAGUUACCGCAUGGUAACUAUGUAAAAGGUGGCUAUGCUACCGCUUUUGGAUGGGCCCGCGGCGCAUUAGCUAGUUGGUGAGGUAACGGCUCACCAAGGCGACGAUGCGUAGCCGACCUGAGAGGGUGAUCGGCCACACUGGGACUGAGACACGGCCCAGACUCCUACGGGAGGCAGCAGUGGGGAAUAUUGCACAAUGGGCGCAAGCCUGAUGCAGCGACGCCGCGUGAGGGAUGGAGGCCUUCGGGUUGUAAACCUCUUUUAUCGGGGAGCAAGCGAGAGUGAGUUUACCCGUUGAAUAAGCACCGGCUAACUACGUGCCAGCAGCCGCGGUAAUACGUAGGGUGCAAGCGUUAUCCGGAAUUAUUGGGCGUAAAGGGCUCGUAGGCGGUUCGUCGCGUCCGGUGUGAAAGUCCAUCGCUUAACGGUGGAUCCGCGCCGGGUACGGGCGGGCUUGAGUGCGGUAGGGGAGACUGGAAUUCCCGGUGUAACGGUGGAAUGUGUAGAUAUCGGGAAGAACACCAAUGGCGAAGGCAGGUCUCUGGGCCGUUACUGACGCUGAGGAGCGAAAGCGUGGGGAGCGAACAGGAUUAGAUACCCUGGUAGUCCACGCCGUAAACGGUGGAUGCUGGAUGUGGGGCCCGUUCCACGGGUUCCGUGUCGGAGCUAACGCGUUAAGCAUCCCGCCUGGGGAGUACGGCCGCAAGGCUAAAACUCAAAGGAAUUGACGGGGGCCCGCACAAGCGGAGGAACAUGUGGUUUAAUUCGAUGAUACGCGAGGAACCUUACCCGGGCUUGAACUGAGGGGGAAUGAGCCAGAGAUGACUCAGUCUUCGGACUCCCUUGGAGGUGCUGCAUGGUUGUCGUCAGCUCGUGCCGUGAGGUGUCGGCUUAAGUGCCAUAACGAGCGCAACCCUCAUCCUCGUUUGCCAUCAGGUAAUGCUGGGCACUCCGGGGAUACUGCCAUCGUAAGAUGUGAGGAAGGUGGGGAUGACGUCA